AUUAAUCCACAACCAUAAGCGCCAGGGAAUUACGAGCCAAGCUUAAAACCCAAAGGAUUUGACGGUGUCCCACCCCCCUAGAGGAGCCUGUUCUAUAAUCGAUGAUCCCCGCUACACCCGACCAUUUCUUGCUUAUCAGUCUGUAUACCUCCGUCGAAAGCCUACCAUGUGAACGCCCCCACAGUAGGUUCAAUGAUCCCCGUCAAUACGUCAGGUCAAGGUGCAGCUUAAGAAAUGGGAAGUGAUGGGCUACAAUUUCUAACCUAGAACAAACGAAAGGCUAUGUGAAAUCAUAGUCACGAAGGCGGAUUUAGUAGUAAAAAGAAAAUAGAGUGUUCUUUUUAACCUGGCUCUGGGACGCGUACACACCGCCCGUCACCCUCUUCGAUAGUGCUAACCCACAGUUUAUAACCUAUUUAUACGUCUGAGAAGAGGCAAGUCGUAACAUGGUAAGUGUACUGGAAAGUGCACUUGGUAUAUUACAAAAUAUAGCUUAACAAAAGCCCCCCGCUUACACCGAGGAGUUAUCUGUUUGACCCAGAUUAUUUUGAGCCUUAAAUCUAGCCCACACAACCCGCAUGAUACUCCUCGACAUCUGUAAAAAAUAAAACAUUUUAACAUUUUAGUAUAGGCGAUAGAAAAAUUAUUAGGCGCUUUAGACAGAGUACCGCAAGGGAAACAUGAAAUAGAAAUGAAACAAUUCUUACAGCCACAAACAGCAGAGACA
rnacentral:rRNA from 1 species